AAAACAGACCAAAACACAAAAAUUUAACUAUAACCACUGAACCAUGAAAAUGAGGUCAAGGUCAGAUGACACCUGCCAGUUGGAUAUGUACACCUUACAGUCCUUCCAUACACCGAAUAUACUAGCCCUAUUGCUUAUAGUAUCUGAGAUAUGGACUUGACCACCAAAACUUAACCUUGUUCACUGAUCCAUGAAAUGAGGUCGAGGUCAAGUGAAAACUGUCAGAC
rnacentral:lncRNA from 1 species